rnacentral:rRNA from 1 species
ACGAACGCUGGCGGCGUGCCUAAUCCAUGCAAGUUGAGCGCUGAAGGUUGGUACUUGUACCAACUGGAUGAGCAGCGAACGGGUGAGUAACGCGUGGGGAAUCUGCCUUUGAGCGGGGGACAACAUUUGGAAACGAAUGCUAAUACCGCAUAAAAACUUUAAACACAAGUUUUAAGUUUGAAAGAUGCAAUUGCAUCACUCAAAGAUGAUCCCGCGUUGUAUUAGCUAGUUGGUGAGGUAAAGGCUCACCAAGGCGAUGAUACAUAGCCGACCUGAGAGGGUGAUCGGCCACAUUGGGACUGGGACACGGCCCAAACUCCUACGGGGGGCAGCAGUAGGGAAUCUUCGGCAAUGGACGAAAGUCUGACCGAGCAACGCCGCGUGAGUGAAGAAGGUUUUCGGAUCGUAAAACUCUGUUGGUAGAGAAGAACGUUGGUGAGAGUGGAAAGCUCAUCAAGUGACGGUAACUACCCAGAAAGGGACGGCUAACUACGUG